GAUCCUGGCUCAGGAUGAACGCUAGCUACAGGCUUAACACAUGCAAGUCGGAGGGGCAGCUAUGGUCUUAGCUUGCUAAGGCUGAUGGCGACCGGCGCACGGGUGAGUAACACGUAUCCAACCUGCCGUCUACUCUUGGCCAGCCUUCUGAAAGGAAGAUUAAUCCAGGAUGGCAUCAUGAGUUUCACAUGUCCGCAUGGAUUAAAGGUAUUUUCCGGUAGACGAUGGGGG
rnacentral:rRNA from 1 species